GAUGAACGCUGGCGGCGUGCUUAACACAUGCAAGUCGAACGAUGAAGCCCAGCUUGCUGGGUGGAUUAGUGGCGAACGGGUGAGUAACACGUGAGUAACCUGCCCUUAACUCUGGGAUAAGUCUGGGAAACUGGGUCUAAUACCGGAUAGGAGCGUCCACCGCAUGGUGGGGGUUGGAAAGAUUUAUCGGUUUUGGAUGGACUCGCGGCCUAUCAGCUUGUUGGUGAGGUAAUGGCUCACCAAGGCGACGACGGGUAGCCGGCCUGAGAGGGUGACCGGCCACACUGGGACUGAGAAACGGCCCAGACUCCUACGGGAGGCAGCAGUGGGGAAUAUUGCACAAUGGGCGCAAGCCUGAUGCAGCGACGCCGCGUGAGGGAUGACGGCCUUCGGGUUGUAAACCUCUUUCAGUAGGGAAGAAGCGAAAGUGACGGUACCUGCAGAAGAAGCACCGGCUAACUACGUG
rnacentral:rRNA from 1 species